CAGCAGCCGCGGUAAUACGUAGGUGGCAAGCGUUGUCCGGAAUUAUUGGGCGUAAAGCGCGCGCAGGUGGUUUAAUAAGUCUGAUGUGAAAGCCCACGGCUCAACCGUGGAGGGUCAUUGGAAACUGUUAAACUUGAGUGCAGGAGAGAAAAGUGGAAUUCCUAGUGUGGCGGUGAAAUGCGUAGAGAUGUGGAGGAACACCAGUGGCGAGGGCGACUCUCUGGUCUGUAACUGACGCUGAGGAGCGAAAGCGUGGGGAGCGAACAGGAUUAGAUACCCCUGUAGUCCCUGUCUCUUAUAC
rnacentral:rRNA from 1 species